rnacentral:lncRNA from 1 species
AAGAAACAAGCCUAGCAGAGGCACUCUUUUUCAGUGCCACUUUUUAAUAUGUCACAUUACAUUUUUUGUUAGUAUUGAAAAUAUUAAGUGUUAUGCAACAGUAAGACUAUGAAGGGUUCAUUCAUUCUUUGGGAACAUUUUACUCUGGUGUUAAAAGCUGCAAUAAUAUCUUAAUAGAUUGUCGUCUAUACAAUGUCUGCAAUUAAUUAAAUGAAUGAUGUGAUUUUUGAUAAAGCUAAUUUUUAAAGGAUGUAAAUUAUGAAGAUAAAAUACUUGAUGAAGGAAGAAGUUUUUGCUGAAUAGUAAAUUAGGCCAUCAUACAAUAUAUGGUUGCUUUCAAAAUCUGUUGUUUAAACAAGUAAUGGCAUAUUAUUGUCCGUUAUGUACACAAAAUGUUUACGGUUUAAUUAAUUUUUAAUUUCCCGGAAGAAUAACAAAUCUGAUUAAAAAUAUAUAUUUAUUUGCGUUGGAUUAACUAUACCAAUACAUUUUGUCAUUUUCCUGCUACGGAGUUCACCAAGCGAAACUUAUCGAGUCAAAACAUUUAAUUUACUAGUGAACAAAUGUGCAAUUUGUUUUCAAACACCACAUUGCUUUUACUGCAUGUUGUUGUCUUCCAAUUCAGUUCACAAAUAGACAGUUUUAGAUGGGCAACACAUUUUUAUGCUCCAAUCAUUUCAUACAUUUGGGUAAACUCGAUAAUGUCUAUGUUAUCAGUAUCAUACUAACUUUUUUUUGUAAGCUGUUUUUGGUAUGCUAUUCAAUUAAACCUUUGUGAAUAAUGUAAAAAAAAAGAAGUGUCAUUUUCAGUGUACAGUGAGCUACCGGUAUAUGUAUGAGAAAUGUAUGCAACAUAAGUGUCAUUUUUUUUUGGACUGGGUCAUUUAUCGAAGCCAACUUGCCAAUCGUUAUAGAGUAGUCAGUACCCUCUUGAUUCCCCCAAAUUAUUGUUUUUCAAGCCUCUCUUUGUAAAACAUGUUUUCUUUCUAUUCCUCGAGAUGGCGACAUCACUCUAUCUUGUCCCAUACGUCACCAACUACAUGUACAUUAAAGAGUUUACAUAUCUGAUGAUGAUAUUAUCAUUUUGGAGGUGAAUUGUUGCCAAAAAUGCACAAAAUUAUGAACAGACAACACCUAGACGCCUGGUUAGAUAUCCUUGUCUUUAUGGCUGCCGUUAACAUGUUUGUGCACUUGAGCCAAACUGGCUUGUACCUCAGUGUGAAGAGACUCGUCAACGCACCUCUGGCCGUCAAUUGCCUGCUCUAGUAUUGAUAAUUUAAAGCGAUACUGAACCAAUGAACUUUCUGCCCAAGCGUACUGUUUAUUGCACAGCGCCAUCUCAUGGUCAACUCUCCAACAGCACGUAACUCGAUACCUAAUUUCCACUUUGCAGACAGAGAAGUCGAUGCGAGAACCAACAGCGCAGCUAGAGAAGUAGAGAGUUACGGGACUAUACUGCUAUAGAUGACCUUAGAUGGUGCUGGAGGGGAUUUUGCGGUGGUACAUGCACUUCUAGUACAGUAUCGCUUUAAUUAAUAGAGUAUGCUUUUGCAGUGGGUCUCUAUAUUGACAAUCUUGGCUUUGAUAUUUGAAUACUCCAAAACUGGCAUUUAUGCUUAAUUGUAUCAAAACCCCUCUAUUUCUUGUAAAGCAUCUGUUACUUAUUGUGUGUGGGAGAAAUAUCAGAUAUUGAAAUUAUGGUAGGGACAAUUUUUUUAUACUCCAACUGGAACCGAUGUACUAUUUAUAUAUCAUGUCGUUUGAUUAUGAAAGUAAAUAAAAACUAUGCAGUAUUUGCAUAGGAAUUCUUCAGAA